rnacentral:rRNA from 1 species
AACACAUGCAAGUCGAGCGGAGAUGAGGUGCUUGCACCUUAUCUUAGCGGCGGACGGGUGAGUAAUGCUUAGGAAUCUGCCUAUUAGUGGGGGACAACAUUCCGAAAGGAAUGCUAAUACCGCAUACGCCCUACGGGGGAAAGCAGGGGAUCUUCGGACCUUGCGCUAAUAGAUGAGCCUAAGUCGGAUUAGCUAGUUGGUGGGGUAAAGGCCUACCAAGGCGACGAUCUGUAGCGGGUCUGAGAGGAUGAUCCGCCACACUGGGACUGAGACACGGCCCAGACUCCUACGGGAGGCAGCAGUGGGGAAUAUUGGACAAUGGGCGGAAGCCUGAUCCAGCCAUGCCGCGUGUGUGAAGAAGGCCUUUUGGUUGUAAAGCACUUUAAGCGAGGAGGAGGCUACUAGUAUUAAUACUACUGGAUAGUGGACGUUACUCGCAGAAUAAGCACCGGCUAACUCUGUGCCAGCAGCCGCGGUAAUACAGAGGGUGCGAGCGUUAAUCGGAUUUACUGGGCGUAAAGCGUGCGUAGGCGGCUGAUUAAGUCGGAUGUGAAAUCCCUGAGCUUAACUUAGGAAUUGCAUUCGAUACUGGUCAGCUAGAGUAUGGGAGAGGAUGGUAGAAUUCCAGGUGUAGCGGUGAAAUGCGUAGAGAUCUGGAGGAAUACCGAUGGCGAAGGCAGCCAUCUGGCCUAAUACUGACGCUGAGGUACGAAAGCAUGGGGAGCAAACAGGAUUAGAUACCCUGGUAGUCCAUGCCGUAAACGAUGUCUACUAGCCGUUGGGGCCUUUGAGGCUUUAGUGGCGCAGCUAACGCGAUAAGUAGACCGCCUGGGGAGUACGGUCGCAAGACUAAAACUCAAAUGAAUUGACGGGGGCCCGCACAAGCGGUGGAGCAUGUGGUUUAAUUCGAUGCAACGCGAAGAACCUUACCUGGCCUUGACAUAGUAAGAACUUUCCAGAGAUGGA